ensembl:lncRNA
GAGGGAGGGAGGGAGGGAGGGAUGGAGAGAGGGAAGAGGGAGGGCAAGGGAGAGAGAGAACCACAACCUGCUGCGCGAGACCAGAGUCGAUCUCCUCUGACAGCUUUAAUUUAUUCGGUUUUACGUUGUUGUUUUUUUGCGAUGGGCGUCGACGGGGGGAAGUUCACUUCCUGCGCUCUCUGUUUCCACGCGUCGGCGGCCGCUGUGCCGUAAGGUCACUGACUCUUAGGUUGUUUCCGUUUGUUUUUAUAUCACGCCUUUUCGAUUUUUUUUUUAUUUUUUUUUUUAAUAUACCUCUACAUUUUCGAGUUGUUUUCCCGACCCCCUUUUUAAUUUGUUUAAUAUUCUGUAUGAUUUGAAUAAUUACUAUUAGGACCCUCUCCUUUCUCCAUGGUGUCGAGUAUAGAACCACCGGACCUUCGCAGACGAUGACCUCCUGUCCCCGCGCCUAACCGGAACAUUCCCAGCCAAUCACUGACCGCGCCUGAAACCCCCCACUCAGAUCGUCACGCCUUUACAUGACUGUGCCCGCAAGACCUACUUUCCAUCCCUCCUACACCCUCUCCAUCCAAGCCCCACCCACCCAGCCAGAAUGGCACCCAGGGGAGCAGGAGAAAGGAGCAGUGUCUGCUUUCUCACCGUUCCCCCACGGAGGGCCGCAUUGGAAUGGACGGAUGACUGGACAUUUGGACGGAGAGACGGAAGGAAGGAUGGAUGGGAUGAAGGGGUUUAAGGGGGUUGUUUUUGGCCUGUUUUGAGCGUACUGUGUCUCCAGUGGACAGAGCGUUGGUCACACAGCAACCGAGACAGCGCAUUGAGAUCCGCCCCCGGAGUCAGCCCCAGAACAUCCCAACACUUCCUGCGUUCGAGACAGGAAUUACAACACCCCCCCCAAUGAAUACCCCGUCUUCACCGCCCCGCCGCUCUCUCAAAUCCCUCCCCAUCCCCCUCUUAUUUGGUGAAGGUUUGAUCCGUCAUCGCCCGUUAUUUCCUCCUUUUUCUCAGUUUAACUGUCAGGGGAUGUUGUUGAUUGGUUGCCACAAUAGGAUGGGCGGAGCUUUCUCCUUUUAUGAAGCCACAGCAGACAGAUCACAUAUAGAUGCAUGUUACAAUGUGUGUGUGUGUGUGUGUGUGUGUGUGUGUGUGUGUGUGUGUGUGUGUGUGUGUGUGUGUGUGUGUGUGUGUGUGUGUGUUUGUGUGAGGUUGUAUGCAUAAAUGUCUGUGUGUGUGUGUGUGUGAUUGCAUGUGUGUGUGUGUGUGUGUGUGUGUUUGACGGGGCAUUGGUCUAACCAAUCCCCAGUGAGUGAGCGUAUGGAUGGGUACAUCAAGUGGUUUCUAAUUGUAUUCACAUGUGGGACGCAUGAGACCACAUGCAUCUCUCUCUUGCUACGAGUCAAGUAUUAUCUCACCAACAAUACUGGUUUCUAUGUGUACUCGUCGAUUUGUUUACCAAUUGAAGUUUAGAUGAAAUUCGAACAUUUUCAACAUGUUCAGUAUUUGACUAAUUCGUAACUUUUUUUCUAACAGCACAAUACUACCACUACUGUAGUAUGUGAAACUCUUCUCUCGUCCGAUAAAAGUAGCUAAAGACUGUGUACUCCCAGUCAUCCAGGUUAUUGGUUGACAACUUGAGUAAGACAUGACUGCUAGCAAUAUUUGCAACACCUACAGUAACGUAACUGAGCACAACGAGCCAUGAGAUAAUGAACACAAGCUUACAACGAUGCAUCGGCAUUAGUGUCCCCUCGCCCCCCAAACACCGCCCACCCCAUGUAUAUCUAUCGCGAAUAUAUAUACAGCUUAACACAUGUAGCAACCCCCUGCCCUCCUACGAUCUCUCGCCUCUCUCCACCUGUGUUCGUCAGACGUCUAGUAGAAGUUAGACACCCCCCAUACCCCAACCAACCUGUCUUAGCCUCAGAUCAGAGCCCCCCCUACAAGUACUAAAAAGACAAAAAAAAUGCACAAAAGAUAGAAAAAAACCUCUACCCCCACACCCCCCACCCAAAAAAAGAAGAAUACCAACAUUGACAUCAUGGACCUCACAACAUCCUCCACCCUCCCGCACCCUUUUCCACCCUCCAUCACUUAUCUUGACUGCAACCCUGGGCUGGACCCCGGCCCCGCCCUCUCCCUCAGCCCCGACAUCUUUUCUUUAGAAGCAUUCCCACUCACCAGUUUGACCUUUGACCCUUCUGCCACCGCCCCCCCUCCCCUACCCCCACUCCCAGUCCAUCUGUCUGCAUGCAUCACAGAGCCUUGCCGUGCUGCUUUUAUUAUUCCAUUAGAAGCUUGUUGGACACCUCCUCCCCCAAACCCCCAAACCCCGAUCCUCAAUGUCAUCGAGGCAGUCCCCUUCUGCAAGGGUGGCUAGCGCGCAGACUGGAGGACAGUGCAUGGAUUUGUGUGUGUGUGUGACUAGUGGAUGUGUAUCUACAUACGUGUGGUCUUUGUAUGUGUGUCGGUGUAAGGUAGAAACAUAGACAUGCUACAGGAAGGGAAUUUGUGUGUGAGGUUGUGUGUGAGGUUGUGUGUGUGGUGUGUGUGUGUGUGUGUGUGUGUGUGUGUGUGUGUGUGUGUGUGUGUGUGUGUGUGUGUGUGUGUGUGUCUCUCAUCCUGCUGCACUGCCCGGAUGACAUCAUGCCUGCCAGCCAACCAACUGUAGAAUGCAAACCAAUGCAAGUGUGGCAUGCCUCUGUACCCUGUGUGUGUACGGUGCCUGCCCUGGGAAAAAAAAGUUUAGAUUUAAAAGAACAAAAAAAAUCUACCUGAUAUAAAUAUAGAUAUAUAUAUAUAUAUAACUUGAAAAAGAAAAAAUACCAUUUUUAGAUGAACAUGUAAAAGAAAUGUGUGUAUUUCUUUCUUUGAUAAAGAAAAAAAGAAGAUACCUUCUGCAUGAAAUGUGUCUUUGAAUGCAAAUAUAACUUUUAGUGACACUCUUAGGAGCACACGGCAUACGUUGGAAACCGUGGACUGAUCAAAGGACCGUCCUUUGAAUUACAUUGGGUUCAUGUUCAUAGGUCAGUGUCCUCUUGAAUGAAGAGACCAGGGGGCCAAAUGUACACCUGCCACUUGGUAAGGCAUGGCUGAGGAAGUGUAGGCGACGACAAACUCUGACAAACGCUGACAACAACGUAAGGGUCACAUGGGUAUGAAGUCCAAACUGCAUGGUUUAGAUCUACUUGAACUUGACUGGCAUGGAAAAACCUUUUCGCUGAGGAGAUUGGGAUGAGAAGUAGGGUACUUACACACUAGUCCUUUUUGGUGGGUCUCUUUUAACAUGGAUGAAUUGGCCCUUAACUCCCUUCCCCAUCUGAUUACAUGAGUUAAUUUAUGUUGUUCGUUGAGAUAUCCCUCGAAUAACAAAGACACAAUCCGGAAAUUUCCAAUUUGUUUUUAAGAAUCUAAAUUUGUGCCCGAAAGUUUAUUCACUACAAUCGCAGGAGAUGCACCAAACAUUUGAGACGAACAAUCCUAAUUCACUCCACGAGGUCUGAUUCAUAAAGUCUUUGUGCUUUCCUGUCAAAACGCAAGUGACCUGAGGAAUGCCUGAACCAAAGUACUUUAAAGUGUUAUCUGGUCAAAACGAUCCAAACUUCAGAUUCAACUUGAGAUUCAAUCAUUUCCGAAACAGAAAGGAAAAUGUCAAUUCUAACUGUUUGCUACACAUGUCCACCAAUCUGAUAAAAGGUGUUCAUAAUUUGACUGGGUGCACAUAUACAGAAAAAGGCAAUGUUUAACUUCCUAACAACUAAGUAAUCAAAGUGAUUCUUGUGGAUUCAUUACCUCACCCUUUAUGAUACUCCUCCAUAGUAGUGAACCGUACUUGGGAGUGCCCGAAGCGAGACACAAGCACCCUUUAAGAUACGCACUACAGGUUCAAGACCUUUUACUGCUGGCACUGGGAGAGGGGUCAGACCUCUAAGAUAAAACAACGUACACAGAUCUAGGGAGAUCUAAUAAAUCAGUCUGUUCAAUCUGAGCCAUUCCCCCAAACACCCAUCACGUUUGUUUUGUUUUCGCUCACUUUUUGCCCCAGGAUGAUGCAAAUGGUACUUUUUGUGUGUGUGUGUGUGUGUGUGUGUGUGUGUAUGAGUGUCUUAAGAGUGCUGUGUACGAAUGUGCAUCGUUUCAAAUGACGUCAUAGACAUCCAUGACGAGCCAUGUAGGAUUAUUCUUUGCCAAGCAAGAUCUUAGAUGUUGUCCCGUAGGCAUCUUUUGAAAGGGUGUAUCGAAGGUAAACGGCGGGGUGGAGGUUGGUUUGGACACUAUGACACAGGGACAUGGAGCUGAAGGUGUGUUGUCAUGGCAAUGUUUUGUGUUGCUGUGGCCCCCUGCAGUCUCUCCAGUAAUAUAUUACGAGAAUGUAGAACUACACACGGAUGUCAUUUUUAGUGAGUGAAUUCAGAGAGAUACCAUUCCUUUUUUAUCUUUCAUUUCUGCUAACGUACAAUCCCGAAACAAUAUCACUGCUUUUUACUUGUAUGUAUUUAUUUUUUUUCUUCUGUGAAUUUAAUUUCCGAACUUUGGUUGGUUUGAACGAGGUAUAAAGACUUAAGAAGUCAAUUGGAAAUUGGUGUCUUUGUCUUACGAAAACGCAGAAUUAGAAACAGCCAAAUGAUGUUGCCUUGUCCUUCAUGUAUUUUCAGAAUAUACCAUGUUGCUCAAUCUCAUUUUCCAUAGAUGAAACAUAAAGGUUGAAAAUGUGCAAGUUUGCUUCGGUAUUUGAACGUUUCUUUUGCUAUUGAGCAAAACGAUGAUGAUGAUGAUGAUGAUGACGAUGUCUAGUAUUUAAAGUCGCAAUGUGCAAGAUUGAGUCCCUUCCAGUAAGUAGGUGGAAGACUUUCAGAAUUAAAAAAACUCAAUAACAGUGUUCUGACCACUCUAACUGACAGUGAACUGUGACGCAAAACUAGUUUUGGGCAUAUUGAAAGUACAAUUAUUGUUAACAAAGAGAGAGGCAGGGGCUGGUCAGCCUUUUUUAUUUGUAAAAUGUAUCUUAUUAUGGGAUGUGAUUUUAUCACAACACUAUUGAAAUCAAUAUUCAUCAGCAUCGACUACAGAUUUGUCCAGGUAAGCUACGAGCUAGCUAGAAAUGUUACACAUUGCGACUUUAAAGUCCUUAGCCAGCAUUUGGUCUCGGCAACCAACCAGGAACACAGAACAUAUCCUUGUAUAUUAUCAAGAGGUAGGGCAGUGUGGGUCGACGAAAAAGACAGAAAUGUUGUAUUGUUCUUAUGGGUGUGAUGGAUGCACCUAGGGUUAGAGUUGUGUGUCUAAUCACGACAGCCAUGGACUAUGCACUCAUGGGCAUGAAUGUAUACUGCCAACGUUAAGGGUCUUAGCAAGAUGACAUGUUGAAUCUUUCCCGCGUAUCUCUCCAGUGUCCAGCCUUUUAUUGUUUUCAUGACAAAUAAGUCUGCGUCUUGGUUUCAUCAGUGCGUGACAAACAUAGAACAAGGUGAAUUGUUCAGGUUGUCUUGUACGGUUGUAAAUAUCUCCCUCCUGUUCAUGUAUGAUUUACCGCCAGCUAUGAUCUCUGUGGGGUAUUCCAACUCUUCCGCUGUGGACAUUCCCCUCCUUUUACAUGGAAAGAUGAAAGAUGUCUCUCGUCACCGGAAUGUUCCAUCUUACAAGGAACGUAUGGGGGUGGAGAGGGCGGAAAGAACGUGCCACUUACGAGAGAGUAGAGAGAGACUUAGAGACAGUGAGAGAGAAAAGGGGAGUGGCUGGGUUGAAACUGAGGGGAUCCUGAACUUGAUAGUGUGGACCCCCUCUCUCUCUGUCUCUUCCUCUCUCCAUGCGUCUUGUCACUUCACUGUGGACCAUACUGAUGGACUGGACUGAUACCAGAGGUCCCGGGAGCAGACUCAGACACAAAGCACUUCUAGCACAACUGUGUCUUAUUUAGCUAUCAAAGAAAGCAUUUUCCUUUUCUAUUUUUUUUCAGAUUUUCAUUUCUAAUAAUAUAUUUUUCAAAAAUUGUUCUCUCACCCAUCCCCACCCCUUAAUGUAUAUCAAGUUAUAUGCAUUGUAAGCAUCUAUAUCUACAACGUAUCACCACCAGGAAGGCGGAUUGUUCAUGGGUCGUUUUUGGAGGUCACAUUUGCCAAAUAACGCAGAGUUGUUGCUAAGUUUCUAUUGCUCUUAACAUGGCUGCAUUGUUUCAUAUGAACUGAUCCUGAAACUCACAACAACGGUAUUCUUAAGGGGGGGGGAUACGAUAACCCAUGCCCUCCACGUGCCAUCUGAUCAAGCAAUAAAUACAAACGAAGACGAAGAACGAGAAAAACUAUCAAAAACACCGAAAGAUAACAAGAUGAGGCUAAACAUUCAUUAUAGGGUUCACGGAAAAAAAACGGAAAAAUCGAAAAUGCUGCAUUUAACUUUCUAUCCCUUACACUGUACUGAGGUACUUAUGGUCCGUGGGCCAGACAUGUCGGCAUGGCAGCACCACUCGCAAAGCAAAAGUCAGACUAGGUGAUUGAAUGUACUAUGAUUCUGUAUUUUGUUUUUCUGGGGUACUAUUGGUUUGUUGGUGAUUUUUUUACUUAAGAAUUAACUUUUACUUUAAAAUAUACAGAGGAUCCUCUGCAUAUUUGUACAGGUGAUACAAUUGGGACAUUAUGAGAGAAAAGAGUUGGGAUGGUGGAUUGUUCUAGAGAUGCAUAUUCAAGCAGACAUGAAAGAGUACAGAAGAUUUCUUGAAUAGCUGCAGAUGGCCUUUUGGUCUUUGUUAGAAAGGCGUCUGGGUUUGGCGUCGAUGUGACUGGGCACUGGCCCGUACCAGCGCAACUGCUUGUACAAUGUAAAAUCUGAGUAAAACACAGAAAUCACAGCUUGGCCUUGUCUUGUAUCUUAAUAUUCUUGGAGAGAAUCUGAACUUCAGUAAAUGUAAAGUUGUACAGUGUAUUUUACUGUAAAUACAAUCUGGGGGAUAUUUUUGGGAUCCUUUUGUAACAGAAGUGAGGGAUUUUCAAAUAUCGUACAUAUUUCAGGCAGGUUGCGCAGUGAUAAUGUUUCUCAACAAAACACAACCCGUAGCUGACUACCAGGCAGUCCUAUUUAUUGACCAAGUUGAUAGCUGAUCUCUGGUUAGCCCAACUCUGUUUCGGAGGGUCACGCAGUAAUCUUUCGCCGUCUUUCAUGUCUGCCUGAACACACAGUCGCUGGACAACAGGCCACCCCGGCUUGGUAGCAGCUGAGGGUGUAGCUGUGGCUAUGCUAGCAUCGUCUCUACGGCAAUCCCAACCGAGCCGACUAGUUAUAGAACUAGCUAGCCAAAUGCUAGCCAAAUGCUAACUGGGUGGGGUUCGGGGGUUGGGUGGAUCGGGAACAUAGAAAGUAGGCCACUGAGCAAACAGUGCCUAGGGCCCCCUCUGGGAUACUCAAGACAUGGUGGUCUGUACAGAGAGAGAGCCGGGGGGGGGGGGGGGGGCACAGUGUCAGAGGGCUCAUUCACCCUACAGGUCUGAGGGUUCAGACGUUCAUGGUAACUCGCCAAAUAGAGGGAGCUGGUCGAGUCAUCCAUUAAGGGGCCCCCUUCCCCAGCCUGCGAGCAGGGCCGUCAGCGCAGUGAGCCGUGUGCAGUCAAGAGGACCCUGAUCACCAGUAUAUCGUGCAGGGGCCGGCUGUCUAGGGCGGUUGUGCUAGUGGGCUUUUGUGAAGGUUUCACUUCUCAUUUCCUUUUACCAAUUGAAUUUUAGGAGACUGCAGAGUCACGGUGACAGGGAUGAGACGGUACUUUUGCUGGUAUGGGUGUUGUUAUUAUUCUGACUAUUAUGAUUAUUAUGAUUUUUAACCUUUUCUUUUGUACUGACAACAAUGGGAAUACUGUAUAGUUGUAAAGGUGAGAUUUCCUGCAUUAUGAUGAUGGUGACAUUGACUACAAACUGGAUGUACAUAUUGUAUCCAUUAAAAACGAUGCAAUUAAGCUUUUCUACGCUCCAAUGAUGAAUGGUUUCUUUUCAUUCAUUAGCUUAGAUAUCAACCAAAAAGUAUGUGUGUGCGUUUGAAGGUCUGUGUGUUUGCACGUGUGAGCCGAUUUGCUUGUCAGGUUAUCCUCACUCAAUCAUCCUCCUGUGUCGCCAUGGGGACGGUGGUGCGAGG